CGCCAGACUCCUACGGGAGGCAGCAGUGGGGAAUAUUGCACAAUGGGGGAAACCCUGAUGCAGCGACGCCGCGUGGGUGAAGGAGCGUUUCGGCGCGUAAAGCCCUAUCGGCAGGGAAGAAGGAGGACGGUACCUGACUAAGAAGCCCCGGCUAACUACGUGCCAGCAGCCGCGGUAAUACGUAGGGGGCAAGCGUUAUCCGGAUUUACUGGGUGUAAAGGGGGCGCAGACGGCAGCGCAAGCCAGGAGUGAAAGCCCGGGGCCCAACCCCGGGACUGCUCUUGGAACUGCGCGGCUGGAGUGCAGGAGGGGCAGGCGGAAUUCCUGGUGUAGCGGUGAAAUGCGUAGAUAUCAGGAGGAACACCGGCGGCGAAGGCGGCCUGCUGGACCGCGACUGACGUUGAGGCUCGAAAGCGUGGGGAGCGAACAGGAUUAGAUACCCCCGUA
rnacentral:rRNA from 1 species